ACCACCCUUUGCUUAUCUAGAGUCUAACGUCUAACGACGGACAGUGCUUGGUGGGUAGUUUGACUGGGGUGGUCGCCUCCAAAAGAGUAACGGAGGCUUCUAAAGGUUCCCUCAGCACGCUUGGUAACCGUGCGUAGAGUGCAAUGGCAUAAGGGAGCUUGACUGAGAGACAUACAGGUCGAUCAGGUACGAAAGUAGAGCAUAGUGAUCCGGUGGUUCCGCAUGGAAGGGCCAUCGCUCAAAGGAUAAAAGGUACUCCGGGGAUAA
rnacentral:rRNA from 1 species